GGCGGCGUGCCUAAUACAUGCAAGUCGAGCGGACAGAUGGGAGCUUGCUCCCUGAUGUUAGCGGCGGACGGGUGAGUAACACGUGGGUAACCUGCCUGUAAGACUGGGAUAACUCCGGGAAACCGGGGCUAAUACCGGAUGGUUGUUUGAACCGCAUGGUUCAGACAUAAAAGGUGGCUUCGGCUACCACUUACAGAUGGACCCGCGGCGCAUUAGCUAGUUGGUGAGGUAACGGCUCACCAAGGCGACGAUGCGUAGCCGACCUGAGAGGGUGAUCGGCCACACUGGGACUGAGACACGGCCCAGACUCCUACGGGAGGCAGCAGUAGGGAAUCUUCCGCAAUGGACGAAAGUCUGACGGAGCAACGCCGCGUGAGUGAUGAAGGUUUUCGGAUCGUAAAGCUCUGUUGUUAGGGAAGAACAAGUGCCGUUCAAAUAGGGCGGCACCUUGACGGUACCUAACCAGAAAGCCACGGCUAACUACGUGCCAGCAGCCGCGGUAAUACGUAGGUGGCAAGCGUUGUCCGGAAUUAUUGGGCGUAAAGGGCUCGCAGGCGGUUUCUUAAGUCUGAUGUGAAAGCCCCCGGCUCAACCGGGGAGGGUCAUUGGAAACUGGGGAACUUGAGUGCAGAAGAGGAGAGUGGAAUUCCACGUGUAGCGGUGAAAUGCGUAGAGAUGUGGAGGAACACCAGUGGCGAAGGCGACUCUCUGGUCUGUAACUGACGCUGAGGAGCGAAAGCGUGGGGAGCGAACAGGAUUAGAUACCCUGGUAGUCCACGCCGUAAACGAUGAGUGCUAAGUGUUAGGGGGUUUCCGCCCCUUAGUGCUGCAGCUAACGCAUUAAGCACUCCGCCUGGGGAGUACGGUCGCAAGACUGAAACUCAAAGGAAUUGACGGGGGCCCGCACAAGCGGUGGAGCAUGUGGUUUAAUUCUAAGCAACGCGAAGAACCUUACCAGGUCUUGACAUCCUCUGACAAUCCUAGAGAUAGGACGUCCCCUUCGGGGGCAGAGUGACAGGUGGUGCAUGGUUGUCGUCAGCUCGUGUCGUGAGAUGUUGGGUUAAGUCCCGCAACGAGCGCAACCCUUGAUCUUAGUUGCCAGCAUUCAGUUGGGCACUCUAAGGUGACUGCCGGUGACAAACCGGAGGAAGGUGGGGAUGACGUCAAAUCAUCAUGCCCCUUAUGACCUGGGCUACACACGUGCUACAAUGGACAGAACAAAGGGCAGCGAAACCGCGAGGUUAAGCCAAUCCCACAAAUC
rnacentral:rRNA from 1 species